AAACAACAACUCUCAGCAACGGAUAUCUUGGCUCUUGCAACGAUGAAGAACGCAGCGAAAUGCGAUACGUAGUGUGAAUUGCAGAAUUCCGCGAAUCAUCGAGUCUUUGAACGCAAGUUGCGCCCGAGGCUUGUCCGAGGGCAUUUCCGCUAGAGCGUCACC
rnacentral:rRNA from 1 species